rnacentral:rRNA from 1 species
AGAAUGAACGUUGGCGGCGUGGAUUAGGCAUGCAAGUCGUACGGGCCGCAAGGCCAGUGGCGCAAGGGUGAGUAAGGCGACGGUAACCAACCCCAUGACUGGGUAUAGCCGCGGGAAACUGCGGGUAAUCCCCAGCGACGUCCCGGGGGGCAUCCCCUAGGGACCAAAGCUCCGGCGUCGUGGGACGGGCUGUCGUGGUAUUAGGUAGUUGGCGGGGUAAUGGCCCACCAAGCCUGCGAUGCCUACCGGGCGUGCGAGCGUGGCCCGGCACACUGGGACUGAGACACUGCCCAGACUCCUACGGGAGGCUGCAGUCGAGAAUCUCGGCAAUGGGCGCAAGCCUGACCGAGCGACGCCGCGUGGAGGAUGAAGGCCUUGGGUUGUAAACUCCUGUCGAGGGGAAGAGGGUCGAAAGACCUUGACUGAUCCCUGGAGGAAGCACGGGCUAAGUUCGUGCCAGCAGCCGC